rnacentral:ncRNA from 2 species
AAUCGAGAACAGGGGAGCUUAUUUGCUGAGAGGAAACUGUCGUUUCGACCCUUAAGUUGAUCCGGAUAAUGCCGGCGUAACAAGUUUGAAUCGCGUCGCA